GUUGAUGUGGGCCAGCAGCUGAGUCUGCAACCGCUCCACCUUUCCCUGGUCCCGCCUUUAGCUUCUCCAGCUCUUGGGCCAGGCCUUCUUUUGGAAGAGCAUCAGUGCUUGGCUCCAAGAAAACUAAGCCAAAAUCUGUCACGGUCUCUGAAUGCUGACAGGGCCACUAAGGAACAUGGAAGCCAGUCAACAUGGAUCAACCUAUUUUCUUGAUAAUGAUAAAGUGGCAGAAUCCAAGUGGGAUUAUCUCAACUAAGAAAUUUCCAAAUGCUUCAGAAAACUGUUCAAAUCUUGAGACAUAUCCUAAAGGCUGGAUCAGAUUGAUCCACCAACAAUUCAACUGAACUUCUACCUUGGGACAAGGAAACCCAUCAAUCGAUAGCCCCAACAUUGUCUGAGAUACACUAAGUCACUCCCAUUGUAUAAGUUUCUUCAAAAGAGAACGUCAAACAUCUUUUGUACUAAGAAAGAA
rnacentral:lncRNA from 1 species